rnacentral:rRNA from 1 species
ACGCUGGCGGCAGGCUUAACACAUGCAAGUCGAGCGGAGAGAGGUAGCUUGCUACUGAUCUUAGCGGCGGACGGGUGAGUAAUGCUUAGGAAUCUGCCUAUUAGUGGGGGACAACAUUUCGAAAGGAAUGCUAAUACCGCAUACGUCCUACGGGAGAAAGCAGGGGAUCUUCGGACCUUGCGCUAAUAGAUGAGCCUAAGUCGGAUUAGCUAGUUGGUGGGGUAAAGGCCUACCAAGGCGACGAUCUGUAGCGGGUCUGAGAGGAUGAUCCGCCACACUGGGACUGAGACACGGCCCAGACUCCUACGGGAGGCAGCAGUGGGGAAUAUUGGACAAUGGGCGCAAGCCUGAUCCAGCCAUGCCGCGUGUGUGAAGAAGGCCUUAUGGUUGUAAAGCACUUUAAGCGAGGAGGAGGCUACUUUAGUUAAUACCUAGAGAUAGUGGACGUUACUCGCAGAAUAAGCACCGGCUAACUCUGUGCCAGCAGCCGCGGUAAUACAGAGGGUGCAAGCGUUAAUCGGAUUUACUGGGCGUAAAGCGCGCGUAGGCGGCUAAUUAAGUCAAAUGUGAAAUCCCCGAGCUUAACUUGGGAAUUGCAUUCGAUACUGGUUAGCUAGAGUGUGGGAGAGGAUGGUAGAAUUCCAGGUGUAGCGGUGAAAUGCGUAGAGAUCUGGAGGAAUACCGAUGGCGAAGGCAGCCAUCUGGCCUAACACUGACGCUGAGGUGCGAAAGCAUGGGGAGCAAACAGGAUUAGAUACCCUGGUAGUCCAUGCCGUAAACGAUGUCUACUAGCCGUUGGGGCCUUUGAGGCUUUAGUGGCGCAGCUAACGCGAUAAGUAGACCGCCUGGGGAGUACGGUCGCAAGACUAAAACUCAAAUGAAUUGACGGGGGCCCGCAC